GGGCUGGUAACUCAGUGGUAGAGUAGUGGAUUGCAGUGUCAUGUGCGGUUAUCCAAAUGUCGCCGGUUCGAUCCCGGCUCAGCCCU